UGUGGUUUGGCACCAGAUGUCUCCUCAUCUCUGCCUUCUUGAUUCCAUUUCAGACUCCUGGGUGAAUCGCCAUGCCUGAUUCGGUUGAUUUCAAAGCCAACUUUAGACGAUGUCCUGGGACCUUAUGCUACAGCCCGAUGUGGAACAAAGAGAGUGAAACACAUCAGUAUGUUUCUUCUUUUCCACAGUUUCCAUCUCAAGAAUGAUGAAAGAGUAACCAGGGUGUGUCAAAUGCUCUCUACAAACUAUACAAAGCCCAGGAUGAGACCAAGCCACCAUUAGCACCACCAUGUCUC
rnacentral:lncRNA from 1 species